rnacentral:rRNA from 1 species
AAACCCUGACCGAGCAACGCCGCGUGAAUGAUGACGGCCUUCGGGUUGUAAAAUUCUGUGGCGAGGAACGAAUGGCAAGGAGAGGAAAUGCUCUUUGUUUGACGGUACCUCGCUAGAAAGCCACGGCUAACUACGUGCCAGCAGCCGCGGUAAUACGUAGGUGGCAAGCGUUAUCCGGAAUUAUUGGGCGUAAAGAGUGAGCAGGCGGUUUUUUAAGUCUGAAGUCAAAUCCUGUGGCUCAACCACAGUUCGCUUUGGAAACUGAAGAACUAGAGUGCGGGAGAGGUAAGCGGAAUUCCAUAUGUAGCGGUGAAAUGCACAGAUAUAUGGAGGAACACCGGUGGCGAAGGCGGCUUACCAGCCCGAUACUGACGCUCAGUCACGAAAGCGUGGGGAGCAAAUAGGCUUAGAUACCCUAGUAGUCCACGCCGUAAACGUUGAGGACCUGAUGCCGGAGUAUUUCGGUGUCGUAGCUAACGCGUUAAGUCCUCCGCCUGGGUACUACGUUCGCAAGAAUGAAACUCAAAGGAAUUGACGGGGGCCCGCACAAGCAGUGGAGCAUGUGGUUUAAUUCGUCGCUACGCGAAAAACCUUACCAGGGUUUGACAUCCCGCUAAAAGUCUUGGAAACAAGAUCAUAGUUAUAGCGGUGAAAGGUGGUGCAUGGUUGUCGUCAGCUCGUGUCGUGAGAUGUUGGGUUAAGUCCCCUAACGAGCGCAACCCUUGUCUCUAUUUGCCAUCAUUAAGUUGGGAACUAUAGAGAGACUGCCGGUGCAAACCUGGAGGAAGAUGGGGAUGACGUCAAAUCAUCAUGCCCCUUAUGCCCUGGGCCACACACGUGCUACAAUGGCCGGUACAGAGAGAAGCAAUCCCGUGAGGAGGAGCAAAUCUCACAAAGCCGGUCUCAGUUCGGAUUGGAGUCUGCAACUCGACUCCAUGAAGCUGGAAUUGCUAGUAAUCGCAGAUCAGCAUGCUGCGGUGAAUACGUUCCCGGGCCUUGUACACACUGCCCGUCACACCAUGAGAGUCGGCAAUACUCGAAGUCGUUAUCUUAACCCGCAAGGGAGGGAGGCGCCUAAGGUAGGGCUGAUGAUUGGGGUUAAGUCGUAACAAGGUAUCCCUACGGGAACGUGGGGAUG